GACGAAUGCUGGCGGCGUGCCUAAUACAUGCCAGUUGAGCGAUGAAGAUUGGUGCUUGCACCAAUUUGAAGAGCAGCGAACGGGUGAGUAAAGCGUGGGGAAUCUGCCUUUGAGCGGGGGACCACAUUUGGAAACGAAUGCUAAUACCGCAUAACAACCUUCAACAUAAGUAUUAAGUUUGAAAGAUGCAAUUGCAUCACUCCAAUAUAAUCCCGCGUUAUAUUAGCUAGUUGGUGAGGUAAAGGCACACCGAGGGGAUGAUACAUAGCCGAACUGAGAGGGGUAUCGGCCAGAUUGGGACUGAGACACGGCCCAAACUCCUACGGGGGGCAGCAGUAGGGAAUCUUCGGCAAUGGACGAAAGUCUGACCGAGCAACGCCGGGUGAGUGAAGAAGGUUUUCGGAUCGUAAAACUCUGUUGGUAGAGAAGAACGUUGGUGAGAGUGGAAAGCUCAUCAAGUGACGGUAACUACCCAGAAAGGGACGGCUAACUACGUGCCAGCCGCCGCGGUAA
rnacentral:rRNA from 1 species